rnacentral:rRNA from 1 species
AUUGAACGCUGGCGGCAUGCCUAACACAUGCAAGUCGAACGGUAACGAUGGGAGCUUGCUCCCAGGCGACGAGUGGCGGACGGGUGAGUAAUACUUAGGAAUCUGCCCAGUAGUGGGGGACAACUCGAGGAAACUCGAGCUAAUACCGCAUACGCCCUACGGGGGAAAGCGGGGGAUCUUCGGACCUCGCGCUAUCGGAUGAGCCUAAGUCGGAUUAGCUUGUUGGUGGGGUAAUGGCUCACCAAGGCGACGAUCUGUAGCUGGUCUGAGAGGAUGACCAGCCACACUGGAACUGAGACACGGUCCAGACUCCUACGGGAGGCAGCAGUGGGGAAUAUUGGACAAUGGGGGCAACCCUGAUCCAGCAAUGCCGCGUGUGUGAAGAAGGCCUGCGGGUUGUAAAGCACUUUCGGAUGGGAAGAAAAGCUCAAGGCUAAUAUCCUUGAGUCUUGACGUUACUAUCAGAAGAAGCACCGGCUAACUCUGUG